rnacentral:rRNA from 1 species
UACGGAGGGUGCAAGCGUUAUCCGGAUUCACUGGGUUUAAAGGGUGCGUAGGUGGGCAGGUAAGUCAGUGGUGAAAUCUUUGGGCUUAACCCGAAAACUGCCAUUGAUACUAUUUGUCUUGAAUAUUGUGGAGGUCAGCGGAAUAUGUCAUGUAGCGGUGAAAUGCUUAGAUAUGACAUAGAACACCAAUUGCGAAGGCAGCUGGCUACACAUAUAUUGAAACUGAUGCACGAAAGCGUGGGAUCAAACAGG